rnacentral:rRNA from 1 species
UACGUAGGGGGCAAGCGUUGUCCGGAAUUAUUGGGCGUAAAGCGCGUGUAGGCGGCCAGAUAAGUCCGCUGUGAAAUCUCGAGGCUCAACUUCGAGCUGUCGGUGGAAACUGUCUGGCUAGAGUCCGGAAGAGGAGAAUGGAAUUCCUGGUGUAGCGGUGAAAUGCGCAGAUAUCAGGAAGAACACCCGUGGCGAAGGCGGUUCUCUGGAACGGUACUGACGCUGAGACGCGAAAGCGUGGGGAGCGAACAGG